AUUGAACGCUGGCGGCAGGCCUAACACAUGCAAGUCGAACGGUAACAGGAAACAGCUUGCUGUUUCGCUGACGAGUGGCGGACGGGUGAGUAAUGUCUGGGAAACUGCCUGAUGGAGGGGGAUAACUACUGGAAACGGUAGCUAAUACCGCAUAACGUCGCAAGACCAAAGAGGGGGACCUUCGGGCCUCUUGCCAUCAGAUGUGCCCAGAUGGGAUUAGCUAGUAGGUGGGGUAACGGCUCACCUAGGCGACGAUCCCUAGCUGGUCUGAGAGGAUGACCAGCCACACUGGAACUGAGACACGGUCCAGACUCCUACGGGAGGCAGCAGUGGGGAAUAUUGCACAAUGGGCGCAAGCCUGAUGCAGCCAUGCCGCGUGUAUGAAGAAGGCCUUCGGGUUGUAAAGUACUUUCAGCGGGGAGGAAGGGAGUAAAGUUAAUACCUUUGCUCAUUGACGUUACCCGCAGAAGAAGCACCGGCUAACUCCGCG
rnacentral:rRNA from 1 species